GCAGUCGAGCGAAUGGAUUAAGAGCUUGCUCUUAUGAAGUUAGCGGCGGACGGGUGAGUAACACGUGGGUAACCUGCCCAUAAGACUGGGAUAACUCCGGGAAACCGGGGCUAAUACCGGAUAACAUUUUGAACCGCAUGGUUCGAAAUUGAAAGGCGGCUUCGGCUGUCACUUAUGGAUGGACCCGCGUCGCAUUAGCUAGUUGGUGAGGUAACGGCUCACCAAGGCAACGAUGCGUAGCCGACCUGAGAGGGUGAUCGGCCACACUGGGACUGAGACACGGCCCAGACUCCUACGGGAGGCAGCAGUAGGGAAUCUUCCGCAAUGGACGAAAGUCUGACGGAGCAACGCCGCGUGAGUGAUGAAGGCUUUCGGGUCGUAAAACUCUGUUGUUAGGGAAGAACAAGUGCUAGUUGAAUAAGCUGGCACCUUGACGGUACCUAACCAGAAAGCCACGGCUAACUACGUGCCAGCAGCCGCGGUAAUACGUAGGUGGCAAGCGUUAUCCGGAAUUAUUGGGCGUAAAGCGCGCGCAGGUGGUUUCUUAAGUCUGAUGUGAAAGCCCACGGCUCAACCGUGGAGGGUCAUUGGAAACUGGGAGACUUGAGUGCAGAAGAGGAAAGUGGAAUUCCAUGUGUAGCGGUGAAAUGC
rnacentral:rRNA from 1 species